rnacentral:lncRNA from 1 species
ACUUGGGCAAGUUGUUCAUGCUUUGUAUAUCUAUUUCUUCGAUGGUAAAUGGGAAUACUAAUCCCCACCUUGAGAAUUACCAACAGGAUUGAAUCACAUAACAUAUUUCACUGAUUAAUCUGAUUAUUAACAGAUGUAAUGCUUUCUUUGUCCAGCAUUAUUCCACCACAUGCAGGAAUCAGUGAGAACUCUCUACCUUGACUAGAAUGAUGAAGUCAGGAUCUGGGAAAAAGUCACUACUAAGCCUCCAGUGACAAUUUGCACAUUAUCCUGGGUUGUCUAAUCAUGAGUGGGCAUCUAUGUGCGCAGUUGCAGAUCCCGUAAUGAAGAUCAGCUGCUGGGCGCGUGCAGCCAGUAUCUACAAGAUCCAGAUGAAAAUGACAUGCUUUUGGUCUUUGGUGAGAUGGUUACUUCAAUCAAGACUAUUUUGAUUAAAGAUCACAGGAUUCCACUCAAAGUUGCUAUGGCAAAAAAAAGAAUAUUUAUCAUAAAGACACAGCAGUAACAUCAUUUGUUCAUUCAUUUGCUCAACAAGUCUUUAUUAUUUGUAUAUUAUGUUCCAUAAUCUGU